rnacentral:rRNA from 1 species
GCAGUCGAACGGCAGCACGGGUGCUUGCACCUGGUGGCGAGUGGCGAACGGGUGAGUAAUACAUCGGAACGUACCUUAUCGUGGGGGAUAACGCAGCGAAAGUUGCGCUAAUACCGCAUACGCCCUGAGGGGGAAAGCGGGGGACCGUAAGGCCUCGCGCGAUUAGAGCGGCCGAUGUCUGAUUAGCUUGUUGGUGAGGUAAAAGCUCACCAAGGCGAUGAUCAGUAGCUGGUCUGAGAGGACGAUCAGCCACACUGGGACUGAGACACGGCCCAGACUCCUACGGGAGGCAGCAGUGGGGAAUUUUGGACAAUGGGGGCAACCCUGAUCCAGCAAUGCCGCGUGAGUGAAGAAGGCCUUCGGGUUGUAAAGCUCUUUUGUCAGGGAAGAAACAGCAGCUCUAACACAGUCUGCGAAUGACGGUACCUGAAGAAUAAGCACCGGCUAACUACGUGCCAGCAGCCGCGGUAAUACGUAGGGUGCGAGCGUUAAUCGGAAUUACUGGGCGUAAAGCGUGCGCAGGCGGUUAUACAAGACAGGCGUGAAAUCCCCGGGCUUAACCUGGGAAUGGCGUCUGUGACUGUAUAGCUAGAGUGUGUCAGAGGGGGGUGGAAUUCCACGUGUAGCAGUGAAAUGCGUAGAUAUGUGGAGGAACACCAAUGGCGAAGGCAGCCCCCUGGGGAUACACUGACGCUCAUGCACGAAAGCGUGGGGAGCAAA